CAGGAACGACUGCGAAAAAUGCAGCACAAGGUCCUCUGGUAGAAAUUGAACCUACGGCCCUGCGAUUCCGGUGCAGCGCUCUAACCAACUGAGCUACAGAGGCCAGCUGUUGAGCUGUAACCGUAGGUUCAUGUAUAUAUAGGUGAUCGGGUGUGCGGGUUGUGAUAAGGUGGACUUCAAUGAUCUGGUUUCUUGCACUUCACUUGGUG
rnacentral:lncRNA from 1 species